UUAGAGCUCGUGAAAUAAUAAGCUCUACGGACUUUUUUAUGUGGACUUCUCUCGACAAAAAUUCUGGAGGACACAGCGCGCCCCGGGACUACGACGACUUCCUUCUACGAAAGACACAGAGACGGGUAUGUGUGUUUCACAGAGACUUUCUAACGAUCCAAGUCAUCAUCACCAACAUCUUCACAGAGUAGAAUUCCACCAGAUCCUUAACUGGAAAGCUUUCCAGGGUGCAGCAUAUGGGGAGAUCACGGGAGGGUGUGUCCCUUUGAGGGACAGGCAACACCAUCAAUGUUUUGGAAAAAGAGGAAAGCAUUAAGACAGGAGACUGAAGAAGUCCACAGCAUGAAUUAUGAGGGUCACGCUGGUGUCUCAGCCCGGCGUUGUGCCGACGUGAGGCACGCUGAGGGUUCCUCAAAGACGAAGAGCCCGCGGGGUCGUCUAUCCCACGUUGUGUUUUGUGCUGCAUCUAAUCGAACGAAAGUCCCACCGAUCUGUCGUAGGGAAGCCGAUUGGCGAAACUUUCAUUCUAAAAGACGGAACAGUUCGGUCGCUGAUUUCCUGAGAUGCGGGGUCAUGCUGUACGUCCCGUGUCCGAGAAGCUAUGGGCCGCAUCUUACUUUAAACAAGAGGGUGCUCUCCAAAAGUUGUCAAAUUCCUUAACCGUAACGGGCCUACCGAUUAUGCCCAUACCAAUAGCUUAAGGUGUACUUUCAAUGUUAUUCCAAACCUUCAUCCUUAAUCCCAGCUGAAUAAUACACGAGUCGAUCUGAGUCAUGAUGUAAACGUAACAGGCAGUAGUGUAAGAUAUAUGUAGAACAUGCAUUUAAGAGCUUAUUGCACAACGCAAUAUUCCUUUGCAGUCGCGGCGAUUAGGUGAAACAAGGUGCAUUACAUCCUUCUCAGUAGCUCCUUAAGCAAAAAGGCCACUGGUUGCCUUUAUCGACUAAAGGACAAUUUCCAGGCGCCCAUUGCAUAGAGCUCCAGCAUGCCGUCACGCAGCAGUUUUAGGAUUGGGGGGGGGAAGAAAAAAAAAG